rnacentral:rRNA from 1 species
AAUGAACGCUGGCGGCGUGCCUAACACAUGCAAGUCGUACGAGAAAGGGGCUUCGGCCCUGAGUAGAGUGGCGCACGGGUGAGUAACGCGUGGGUAAUCUGCCCUUGGAUUUGGGAUAACUCUGCGAAAGUGGAGCUAAUACCGGAUAGUCUGGCUUUAAUUGAUAAGUCGGUAAAGGAUGCCUCUGCAUAUGCAUUCGUCCAAGGAUGAGCCCGCGUCUCAUUAGCUAGUUGGUAGGGUAAUGGCCUACCAAGGCAACGAUGAGUAGCUGGUCUGAGAGGAUGAUCAGCCACACUGGAACUGAAACACGGUCCAGACUCCUACGGGAGGCAGCAGUGGGGAAUAUUGCGCAAUGGGCGAAAGCCUGACGCAGCAACGCCGCGUGAGGGAUGAAGGCUUUCGGGUCGUAAACCUCUGUCGGAAGGGAAGAACGGGUGAGGGUCUAAUAGGCCUUCAUUUUGACGGUACCUUUAGAGGAAGCACCGGCUAACUCCGUGCCAGCCGCCGCAGUAACAC